UCCUCCCCCUUUCUUCGUGCUUAACACAUGCAAGUCGAACGGAAAGGCCCUGCUUUUGUGGGGUGCUCGAGUGGCGAACGGGUGAGUAACACGUGAGUAACCUGCCCUUGACUUUGGGAUAACUUCAGGAAACUGGGGCUAAUACCGGAUAGGAGCUCCUGCUGCAUGGUGGGGGUUGGAAAGUUUCGGCGGUUGGGGAUGGACUCGCGGCUUAUCAGCUUGUUGGUGGGGUAGUGGCUUACCAAGGCUUUGACGGGUAGCCGGCCUGAGAGGGUGACCGGCCACAUUGGGACUGAGAUACGGCCCAGACUCCUACGGGAGGCAGCAGUGGGGAAUAUUGCACCAUGGGCGGAAGCCUGAUGCAGCAACGCCGCGUGCGGGAUGACGGCCUUCGGGUUGUAAACCGCUUUCGCCUGUGACGAAGCGUGAGUGACGGUAAUGGGUAAAGAAGCACCGGCUAACUACGUG
rnacentral:rRNA from 1 species